AUGAACGCUGGCGGCGUGCCUAAUACAUGCAAGUCGAGCGAACAGGCGAGGAGCUUGCUCCUCUGACGUUAGCGGCGGACGGGUGAGUAACACGUGGAUAACCUACCUAUAAGACUGGGAUAACUUCGGGAAACCGGAGCUAAUACCGGAUAAUAUAUUGAACCGCAUGGUUCAAUAGUGAAAGACGGUUUUGCUGUCACUUAUAGAUGGAUCCGCGCCGCAUUAGCUAGUUGGUAAGGUAACGGCUUACCAAGGCAACGAUGCGUAGCCGACCUGAGAGGGUGAUCGGCCACACUGGAACUGAGACACGGUCCAGACUCCUACGGGAGGCAGCAGUAGGGAAUCCUCCGCAAUGGGCGAAAGCCUGACGGAGCAACGCCGCGUGAGUGAUGAAGGUCUUCGGAUCGUAAAACUCUGUUAUUAGGGAAGAACAAAUGUGUAAGUAACUAUGCACGUCUUGACGGUACCUAAUCAGAAAGCCACGGCUAACUACGUG
rnacentral:rRNA from 1 species